rnacentral:rRNA from 1 species
GACGAACGCUGGCGGCGUGCUUAACACAUGCCAGUCGAACGGAAAGGCCCUGCUUUUGUGGGGUGCUCGAGUGGCGAUCGGGUGAGUAACACGUGAGUAACCUGCCCUUGACUUUGGGAUAACUUCAGGAAACUGGGGCUAAUACCGGAUAGGAGCUCCUGCUGCAUGGUGGGGGUUGGAAAGUUUCGGCGGUUGGGGAUGGACUCGCGGCUUAUCAGCUUGUUGGUGGGGUAGUGGCUUACCAAGGCUUUGACGGGUAGCCGGCCUGAGAGGGUGACCGGCCACAUUGGGACUGAGAUACGGCCCAGACUCCUACGGGAGGCAGCAGUGGGGAAUAUUGCACAAUGGGCGGAAGCCUGAUGCAGCAACGCCGCGUGCGGGAUGACGGCCUUCGGGUUGUAAACCGCUUUCGCCUGUGACGAAGCGUGAGUGACGGUAAUGGGUAAAGAAGCACCGGCUAACUACGUG